GGCAUCUUGGUCGAGAGGUCUAAGACGUGGCACUCAAGAUGCUAUCCUUUACAGGGCGUGGGUUCGAAUCCCACAGAUGUCA
rfam:Nematocida sp. 1 ERTm2 unplaced genomic scaffold supercont1.2, whole genome shotgun sequence.